rnacentral:rRNA from 1 species
GAGGCGAACCGGGAGAACUGAAACAUCUAAGUACCCCGAGGAAAAGAAAUCAACCGAGAUUCCCUCAGUAGCGGCGAGCGAACGGGGAUUAGCCCUUAAGUUUCUUGGAAGUUAGUGGAAUGGUCCUGGAAAGGCCAGCGAUACAGGGUGAUAGCCCCGUACAUGAAAACGACCUUGAAGUGAAAUCGAGUAGGGCGGGACACGUGACAUCCUGUCUGAAUAUGGGGGGACCAUCCUCCAAGGCUAAAUACUCCUGACUGACCGAUAGUGAACCAGUACCGUGAGGGAAAGGCGAAAAGAACCCCUGUGAGGGGAGUGAAAUAGAACCUGAAACCGUGUACGUACAAGCAGUGGGAGCCCUUCGGGGUGACUGCGUACCUUUUGUAUAAUGGGUCAGCGACUUACAUUUUGUAGCGAGGUUAACCGUAUAGGGGAGCCGUAGGGAAACCGAGUCUUAACUGGGCGUCUAGUUGCAAGGUGUAGACCCGAAACCGGGUGAUCUAGCCAUGGGCAGGUUGAAGGUUGAGUAACAUCAACUGGAGGACCGAACCCACUAACGUUGCAAAGUUAGGGGAUGACCUGUGGCUGGGGGUGAAAGGCCAAUCAAACUCGGAGAUAGCUGGUUCUCCCCGAAAGCUAUUUAGGUAGCGCCUCGGACGAAUACUACUGGGGGUAGAGCACUGUUUGGACUAGGGGGUCAUCCCGACUUACCAACUCCAUGCAAACUCCGAAUACCAGUAAGUAAUAUCCGGGAGACACACGGCGGGUGCUAACGUCCGUCGUGAAGAGGGAAACAACCCAGACCGCCGGCUAAGGUCCCAAAGUUCUGGUUAAGUGGGAAACGAUGUGGGAAGGCUCAGACAGCUAGGAUGUUGGCUUAGAAGCAGCCAUCAUUUAAAGAAAGCGUAAUAGCUCACUAGUCGAGUCGGCCUGCGCGGAAGAUGUAACGGGGCUCAAACCAGGCACCGAAGCCGCGGAUUCA